rnacentral:rRNA from 1 species
GACGAACGCUGGCGGCGUGCCUAAUACAUGCAAGUAGAACGCACAGUUUAUACCGUAGCUUGCUACACCAUAGACUGUGAGUUGCGAACGGGUGAGUAACGCGUAGGUAACCUGCCUGGUAGCGGGGGAUAACUAUUGGAAACGAUAGCUAAUACCGCAUAAUAUUGAUUAUUGCAUGAUAAUUGAUUGAAAGAUGCUAUUGCAUCACUACCAGAUGGACCUGCGUUGUAUUAGCUAGUAGGUGAGGUAACGGCUCACCUAGGCGACGAUACAUAGCCGACCUGAGAGGGUGAUCGGCCACACUGGGACUGAGACACGGCCCAGACUCCUACGGGAGGCAGCAGUAGGGAAUCUUCGGCAAUGGACGAAAGUCUGACCGAGCAACGCCGCGUGAGUGAAGAAGGGUUUCGGAUCGUAAAGCUCUGUUGUAAGGGAAGAACGGGUGUGAGAGUGGAAAGUUCACACUGUGACGGUAUCUUACCAGAAAGGGACGGCUAACUACGUG